GCAAGUAGAACGCUGAAGGAGGAGCUUGCUUCUCCGGAUGAGUUGCGAACGGGUGAGUAACGCGUAGGUAACCUGCCUGGUAGCGGGGGAUAACUAUUGGAAACGAUAGCUAAUACCGCAUAACAAUGAAUGACUCAUGUCAUUUAUUUGAAAGGGGCAAUUGCUCCACUACAAGAUGGACCUGCGUUGUAUUAGCUAGUAGGUGAGGUAACGGCUCACCUAGGCGACGAUACAUAGCCGACCUGAGAGGGUGAUCGGCCACACUGGGACUGAGACACGGCCCAGACUCCUACGGGAGGCAGCAGUAGGGAAUCUUCGGCAAUGGGGGCAACCCUGACCGAGCAACGCCGCGUGAGUGAAGAAGGUUUUCGGAUCGUAAAGCUCUGUUGUAAGAGAAGAACGGGUGUGAGAGUGGAAAGUUCACACUGUGACGGUAUCUUACCAGAAAGGGACGGCUAACUACGUGCCAGCAGCCGCGGUAAUACGUAGGUCCCGAGCGUUGUCCGGAUUUAUUGGGCGUAAAGCGAGCGCAGGCGGUUAGAUAAGUCUGAAGUUAAAGGCUGUGGCUUAACCAUAGUAUGCUUUGGAAACUGUUUAACUUGAGUGCAGAAGGGGAGAGUGGAAUUCCAUGUGUAGCGGUGAAAUGCGUAGAUAUAUGGAGGAACACCGGUGGCGAAAGCGGCUCUCUGGUCUGUAACUGACGCUGAGGCUCGAAAGCGUGGGGAGCAAACAGGAUUAGAUAUCCUGGUAGUCCACGCCGUAAACGAUGAGUGCUAGGUGUUAGGCCCUUUCCGGGGCUUAGUGCCGCAGCUAACGCAUUAAGCACUCC
rnacentral:rRNA from 1 species